UGGAAAUCUUGAAAAAGAUGUAGAUAGAAGAUUUAGCUAUGCACUGAGCAGGGAAGAUAUUGAAAAUGCCAUACUUGGAGGUCCAUAAGGACAAACCUUUUAUGCGUGUACGUUAGGUAGCCAUAACACUGUUCCAUCUCAAUUCCAAGCAACUCUAAUGAGUUAAGUUUCCCAAAAACUCAUAUAGAUACACAUACAGUGGGAUCCAAAUUCUUUUUAGGAAGGGGUUAUGUAGGGAUA
rnacentral:misc_RNA from 1 species